AACGAACGCUGGCGGCAUGCCUAACACAUGCAAGUCGAACGAGACCUUCGGGUCUAGUGGCGCACGGGUGCGUAACGCGUGGGAACCUGCACUUAGGUUCGGAAUAACUCCCCGAAAGGGGUGCUAAUACCGGAUAAUGUCUUCGGACCAAAGAUUUAUCGCCUUUGGAUGGGCCCGCGUUGGAUUAGCUAGUUGGUAGGGUAAAAGCCUACCAAGGCGACGAUCCAUAGCUGGUCUGAGAGGAUGAUCAGCCACACUGGGACUGAGACACGGCCCAGACUCCUACGGGAGGCAGCAGUGGGGAAUAUUGGACAAUGAGCGAAAACCUGAUCCAGCAAUGCCGCGUGAGUGAUGAAGGCCUUAGGGUUGUAAAGCUCUUUUACCCGGGAUGAUAAUGACAGUACCGGGAGAAUAAGCUCCGGCUAACUCCGUG
rnacentral:rRNA from 1 species